GGGCUUUCCGGGACUCGGAGGGACUCGGGGCGGCUCUGCUGGGGACAGAGGGGCGAAGGAAAGCGGGGCCUCGGCCCCCGCACCCUAAAACAUCCCCGUCCUCCCGGGGCGACUCCGCCAGGAGCGGCUCACGGGGCAGACAGCCAGCCUGCCGCCCAGGCCCGGCCCGGCCUCCGGGGCAACUGCCAGCGCCCGGCGCUCACAAAGGGCUCCUUGACGGGCGUCCUCGGCCGACCUCCCGGCUGUGGUCCCGGCAGCGCUGGCCGCUGCCUGGAGAGCCCGCGGAGGGGAGCGGGGAGCCGGGGAGCCAGGAGCCGGUGCUGCGCCCUGAGCCGCCGCAGGUGGCUGCCCGCACCUCCCGCAGCCCACCCCCUCCGGAGCCGACCGCGUGUCCGACGGGAGCACGGACGGGCCUGAGCCUGCGCCCACCACCCUCCGCUCACAGCGUUCCCGUCUCGGUGUUUCCAGGGCCUGGGGAGCAGGCAGAGACAGGGCCCUGAGCCAUGCCGCCGGCUGCCGGGCAAGACGAGAAUCCAGCCCGGCGUCCGGUCAGCCCACGGCCCGGCCCGGCCCGGCCCGGCCCGGCCCGGCCCGGCCUGGCCCCGGCUCCAGCUGACAGCGCCACGUCCUCCGUCCCGCCUCCAUCGGCCGCAGGCGCGGAGCAGCUGCCCCUGAGGGACGUGGCUCUCCCGCUGAGCCCUGGCCCUCGCACCUCCCCCAAACACCCGCUGCCUGUCUCCCCACGUGGCCGUCUCUGUCUCCUCGGCCGGUUCCAUCUCCUCCUCCAGGGAAACUCUGUGGCUCCGAAGCUCUUUGAAGCUUUAAUUUUUAACUUACUCGAAUUAAAGCAGUUUCCUUCCUUAUAAAAAGGAAUGGCCAACUCUUAUGACAGAGCAGAGUCCUGCAGUGAGACCCCUCUCCGCGGUGGCUGAGAGGAAGUCAGAGCUGCAGUGGGUGAGGCGGGUUUUACCCUGGGCCCGGGCCCAGGGGCGCAGCGACCGAGGCCCCCGGCCCCGUGCCCUCCAAGCUCCCAGGAACGGCUGGAUUUGGUUUCCUGGACGGGGCGCCAGGCCCUGCCACACUUCCUGUCCCUCCUGCCCUCUCUCCUCUUCCCGGGAGCCAGCAGCCUGUCUCCGGGGAAACUCCACACGAGCCCCAGUUGUCUCUGCCGUCCCGGCCCCGAGCCUGUCCCGAUGCCGCAGGGAGCAGGCGGAGGGCUGGGACGGGCCAGCCGGACGGAGCGGCGGAGGCCCUGGCCGGAAGCUGCCUCACCCCCAGGAGAGCGCGGGGCGGGACUGCGAGGAGGGCCGCCGGCCCUGCGAGGACCUGUCCCAGACUUCUCGGCUUGGAACUGACCGCCUGGGGGGUGGGGAGCCCUCGGGGCCUCAUGCUUCGUGCAGCUGAGCACCCGCUGCUUCUCCGAGACGUGAAAGCGAGCUGUUGGCGGUGCCUGUGUCCCUGGAGCGCGGCUCCCACGGGGCCGCCCGUCCCAGUGCCGGGGCCUCCUGAGCCCUCCCUGGCGGGCGGCAGCGACGGGCACUGCUCCCAUGGAAGGUGCAGGUGGAACUGGGAAGCCGGGCGUGGGGACAGUCACAGCCGGAGACCCCGGGCCUUCGUGUGCCCUGCCACACCCGGGCCAGCUGCAGCACCCCUCAGGCUGGAGACUCCGUAAAGGGCCCCCCCCACCCCCCCGUUUGCCGCUGUGACUGACGGUUCCUCCUCGCAGGAGCCGAGGUUCUGUGAACAAUAAAGCGCAGGGGGCCGAGGU